rnacentral:ncRNA from 2 species
AUCGUCGCAUGUAACUGGCGUACACGGUGAACCGUGAGGGAGCAUGUGAUUAGAUAUAGCCGUACGCCUGGGCAGAGGUA